GAUGAAGAACGUAGCGAAAUGCGAUAAGUAGUGUGAAUUGCAGAUUUUAGUGAAUCAUCGAAUUUUUGAACGCACAUUGCGCCCCUUGGUAUCCCGAGGGGCAUGCCUGUUCGAGCGUCAUUUCACCACUCAAGCCUGGCUUGGUGUUGGGCGACGUCCCCUUUGGGGACGCGCCUCGAAACGCUCGGCGGCGUGGCACCGGCUUUAAGCGUAGCAGAAUCUUUCGCUUUGGAAGUCGGGGCCCCGUCUGCCGGAAGACCUACUCGCAAGGUUGACCUCGGAUCAGGCAGGGAUACCCGCUGAACUUAAGCAUAUCAAUAAGCGGAGGA
rnacentral:misc_RNA from 1 species